rnacentral:misc_RNA from 1 species
CUGAAAGUGCCGCGAGGCACGCUUCACCCACCCUUGUUUUUGAGCACCUUCGUUUCCUCGGCAGGCUCGCCUGCCAACGGGGACCACCAAAACUCUUUGCAGUAAGCAGUUUCUGUUCAGACAAAAGCAAACAAUCA